rnacentral:ncRNA from 1 species
UGGGUUCUACUGUAGUCUAUGUAGAUUAAAAGGGAAGUUGAGUGGAAAUCUCACACGGUCCCGCCGCUGUAAUAGAAUAGUUUUUUCAAUAUGCCACUGGGAAACUGGGAAGGCUGAAAAAAUGUAGAAGCUUAAGUCAGAAUACCUGCCUAUUUUA